AGUGACCUUCCUAGGUGUGACGGAGGAAACACACGGUCACUUCCCAAAGAACGGAACGAGAAGACGUUCCCGGAGAUCCUCCUGGGGCCCCGGGGACCGUAAAGGAUGCUUGGGGACCUCCGGGGAGCCGGGCGGGACGUGGAUGUAAUUGGCCAUGGCCCAGGCGACGGCAGAGACUACCACAACGACGACGGCGACGGCGACCACGAGAACGGCGGGCGCCGACAGGCUGCUGGAUCCUUCCGUCCCGGGGCGCCCUCGCGGGAGGGCUGGGGGCGUUCAGACUGACAGCCGAGCGGUAGGAGAACCGGUGGAGGCGGCACUCUCGCCGACCCGGGUCUGGACAGCGGCUGAACUGAGCGGGGAAUGCUCACGGGAAAAAAAUUCCUCUCGUCUGCGCUCGGCCGCCGGCGGGCGCGGAGCAUGCCGGGACUGGCCUGACGCUGGCGUCACGCGCGGGGCGGGGCCUCGGCUGCGUCAGGCUCAAGGCCGCGUGUCUAGCUCUGAGGCACAAUGGGCCUGGUUCCCAGGGCUCGGUUUCUCGGCCUUUAUCAGACUCUUCCUGGCGUGCUGUUACUCGGAAACACGCGGGGCUCGCCUUCUGGAAUGAGGCUGAGCCCUGCCAAGCCCCGGACGAAAGGCACUGAAGCUUUAGCUCACCUUUUUUGGGGAAGGGGUGGGUCUUGGUAUCUGGGUUUGAGGUAGAGCUGACUUUUUCUGGAAUGCCAGGGACGCGUCCUGAAAUAACCCCAGGGUCAGCCUCUGAGUUUGGCCUGAGUUUGGGCAAGCUGAAUUAACUGGGUCGCCUUGAUCUCGGAGCUGCUGUGUACUGAGGUCCACAUAGUUGGGUUGACAACUAACUUACCAUCAGCAGUAUACUGAGCUCAUGGUAUACUGGGACAGUUAAGAUAAUUGGGUAAAACGGAGACUGCACGUCAAGAUGUAUUUUUAAAGGUCGGUUAUUUGACCGUACUGAGAAUUAUUUAGAGUCAGGAGGAACAGGUUAUAGUCUAAGAUGAAGAUGGAAGGGAAGUAAUUCUGAG
ensembl:lncRNA